GGGUUGAUUGGGGGCUAGGAAAGGGGUUGGUUUCAGACUGGUUUAAGGGUUGAUUGGGGCAUAGGGAAGGGGUUGGUUUCAGACUGUUUUAAAGGGGUGAUUGGGGCCUAGGAAGGGGUUGGUUUCAGACUGAUGGGGGCCUCAGGGAAUGGGUUGGUUUCAGACUGGUUUAAUGGUUGAUUUGGGCCUAGGGAAGGGGUUGGUUUCAGACUGAGUGGGGCCUAGGGAAGGGUUGGUUCAGACCGGUUUAAGGGUUGAUUGGGGCCAGGAAGGGGUUGGUUUCAGACGGAUUGGGGCCUAGGGAAGGGGGUUGGUUUCAGACUGGUUUAAUGGUUGAUUGGGGCCUAGGGAAGGGGUUGUUUCAGGACGGAUUGGGGCCUAGGGAAGGGGUUGGUUUCAGACUGGUUUAAGGGUUGAUUGGCCUAGGGAAGGAGCUGGUUUCAGACUGAUUGGGGCUAGGGAAGGAGUGGGUUUCAGACUGGGUUUAAGGGGUAUUGGGGCCGAGGGAAGGGGUUGGUUUCAGACUGGUUUAAGGGUUGAUUGGGGCCUAGGGAAGGAGUUGGUUUCAGACUGAUUGGGGCCUAGGGAAGGGGUUGGUUUCAGACUGGUUUAAGGGUUUGAUUGGGGCCUAGGGAAGGGUUGGUUUCAGACUGUUUAAGGGUUGAUUGGCCUAGGGAAGG
rnacentral:lncRNA from 1 species